AUGCCUCUUGAACCAGCUUCUCUGAUUCCGAAUCAAGAGCACUUGUGGCCUCAUCGAGCAGAAGUAUUGGAGGAUCCUUGAGAAUGGCUCUGGCUAUAGCAAUUCUUUGUUUUUGUCCUCCUGAUAACUGGAAGCCCCUUUGCCCCACCUAGACCAUUUUGGCACCAGAAUUUGACUCAGAAUCCUUCUUUUUUUUUUUUUCCAAUGAGAGCUUGAGAACUUUCAAGAGAGACAUCUUUCGUUUACAUCUGUUGCUAGGAGAUUGCAUUUUACCUCUGUCAAAUACUUAUCUGGAAGUUGUGAAAUGAAAUCAUGUGCAUUUGCCAUCAUUGCUGCGUUCUCUAUUUGUUGGUCAUCUGCAUCCAUAUUUCCUACUUUAAGGUUGUCCUUGAUAGUGCCAGCAAACAGUGAUGGUUCUUGGGAAACUGCUCCAAUAUUUUGCCGUAGGAACUUCAAAUCAAGAUUCUUGAUGUUUUGGUUAUCUAUGAGAAUGACCCCUGAAAACAUGCAAUAUUAGCCCAUUGUCAGCAACCUUUGUGCACAAAAAAUGUAUGAGCAAUAGAAGCAUGAAACCAUGGGAAUAAUAUGGAGAGGAUAACAAAUAUCAGCUCAAGAGCAUGGAGUAUAAAGGUUUCAGACCUUUUGAUGGAUCAUAGAAUCUUGCAACCAGGGAUAUGAUUGUGCUUUUCCCACACCCACUGCUACCAACUAAUGCCACUGUCUUUCCUGCUGGAAUUGACAGCGUAAAACCUUGAAGAAUCACUUUAUCUUCUCGGGAUGGAAUAACUAGCUUGGUGAUCAUCAUUGGAUUGCUUCUCUGGCCGCUGUAAGACAAAACAAUCACAUCCAAAAACUCUACAAGAAAGGUGGCUCCAAUUAGUAGAAUCAAGGGAACUACAAACAAGGUGACCAGUGAAACUUCCCAACUGCAAAUGAAGGCAAUCAAGACUCCAGAAAAGAAAGUGGCGAAGCACGAAAGGAAGUGCCCCAGCUGCUAGCAAAAAAGUUAUGUUAGCAUGAUCGGCAAAUUUCGGUGGGGAAAGCUCAAAAGCAGUCAAUUUGAGGGAGAGAUUGCCACCUUCUCUCCUAUAGCAUCCUGAAUUACACUCAUGUGAGUACUUAUCCCGGCAAUGACUUUUCCACUUGACAAUUCAGUAUCAAAAGCUCCAAUCUCCUGGCUGAGGACCGAUCUCAGGAACGCUAAUCUGAUUCUUGCUGUUUGUCUUUCGCUCGUGUACAUCCAGCAUCCAAUCUCUGCAGAUAAUUGGAAGCCAUGUGAAUGCUACGUUACCGCGUACUCUCUAUACUUUUAGUUUUCUCUCUUGUAGUUAAUCCAUUGCUUCUUACUAACUCUUUUGCUAACAGUCCAAUAUGAUUAAUGAUUAUAUGAUACU